ACCUCUUCGGAGGUUAGCGGCGGACGGGUGAGUAACACGUGGGCAACCUGCCUGUAAGACUGGGAUAACUCCGGGAAACCGGAGCUAAUACCGGAUAGUAUCUCGAACCGCAUGGUUCCAGCUGGAAAGACGGUUUCGGCUGUCACUUACAGAUGGGCCCGCGGCGCAUUAGCUAGUUGGUGGGGUAAGGGCUCACCAAGGCGACGAUGCGUAGCCGACCUGAGAGGGUGAUCGGCCACACUGGGACUGAGACACGGCCCAGACUCCUACGGGAGGCAGCAGUAGGGAAUCUUCGGCAAUGGACGAAAGUCUGACCGAGCAACGCCGCGUGAGUGAGGAAGGCCUUCGGGUCGUAAAGCUCUGUUGUUAGGGAAGAACAAGUACCGUUCGAACAGGGCGGUACCUUGACGGUACCUAACCAGAAAACCACGGCUAACUACGUGCCAGCAGCCGCGGUAAUACGUAGGUGGCAAGCGUUGUCCGGAAUUAUUGGGCGUAAAGCGCGCGCAGGCGGUCUCUUAAGUCUGAUGUGAAAGCCCACGGCUCAACCGUGGAGGGUCAUUGGAAACUGGGGGACUUGAGUACUGGAGAGGAGAGUGGAAUUCCAUGUGUAGCGGUGAAAUGCGUAGAUAUAUGGAGGAACACCAGUGGCGAAGGCGGCUCUCUGGCCAGUAACUGACGCUGAGGCGCGAAAGCGUGGGGAGCAAACAGGAUUAGAUACCCUGGUAGUCCACGCCGUAAACGAUGAGUGCUAGGUGUUGGGGGGUUCCACCCUCAGUGCUGACGUUAACACAUUAAGCACUCCGCCUGGGGAGUACGACCGCGAAGUUGAAACUCAAAGGAAUUGACGG
rnacentral:rRNA from 1 species